rfam:Camelus ferus unplaced genomic scaffold scaffold961, whole genome shotgun sequence.
GAGGGUAUAGCUAAAGUGGCAGACUGCAUGCCUAGCAUGCAUGAGGUCCUGGGUUCAAUCCUCAGUACCUCCA